rnacentral:rRNA from 1 species
UACGUAGGGUGCAAGCGUUAAUCGGAAUUACUGGGCGUAAAGCGUGCGCAGGCGGUUUCGUAAGUCUGUCGUGAAAUCCCCGGGCUUAACCUGGGAAUGGCAAUGGAGACUGCGAGGCUAGAGUUUGGCAGAGGGGGGUAGAAUUCCACGUGUAGCAGUGAAAUGCGUAGAGCUCCGGAGGAACACCAGUGGCGAAGGCGGCCGCCUGGGCCAGUCCUGACGCUGAGUCGCGAAAGCGUGGGGAGCGAUCCGG